rnacentral:tRNA from 1 species
GGCACUUUGGCGGAGUGGUUAACGCGAUGCCCUGCUAUAAAUAGUAGGAAGGCAUUCCCUUCGGGGGCGUGUGUUCGAAUCACACAGGUGUCG